rnacentral:rRNA from 1 species
AGGGUGCAGGGCGGAUGCCUUGGCACUAGGAGCCGAUGAAGGACGUGAUAAGCUGCGAUAAGCUUCGGGGAGUUGCACGUAAACUUUGAUCCGAAGAUUUCCGAAUGAGGAAACUCACUUAGAGUAAUGUCUAAGUAUCAUUAAGUGAAUACAUAGCUUAAUGAGGGGAACUCAGGGAACUGAAACAUCUAAGUACCUGAAGGAAGAGAAAGAAAUUCGAUUCCGUAAGUAGCGGCGAGCGAACGCGGAUUAGCCCAAACCAAUAAAGUUUUCUUUAUUGGGGUUGCGGACAUAUCAUAACGAAGAGGUAUCGUAAUUGAAGAGGUUUGGAAAGACCCACCACAGAAGGUAAUAGUCCUGUAUGUUAAACGAGAAGACUUCAGAUAUGAUCCAGAGUACCACGGGACACGUGAAACCCUGUGGGAAGCAGGAGGGACCACCCUCCAAGGCUAAAUACUACCUAGUGACCGAUAGCGUAUAGUACCGUGAGGGAAAGGUGAAAAGAACCCCGGGAGGGGAGUGAAAUAGAACCUGAAACCCUGCACUUACAAGCUGUGGAAGCACAUUUCUUGUGUGACCGCGUACUUUUUGUAGAACGGGCCAACGAGUUACGUUAAGUAGCAAGGUUAAGCACUUAAGGUGUGGAGCCGUAGCGAAAGCGAGUUUUAACUGAGCGUUCAGUUACUUGACGUAGACCCGAAACCGGGCGACCUACCCAUGAGCAGGAUGAAGCGAAAGUAAAAUUUCGUGGAGGUCCGAACCCACGAGCGUUGAAAAGCUCGGGGAUGACUUGUGGGUAGCGGUGAAAUUCCAAUCGAGCCCGGAGAUAGCUGGUUCUCCCCGAAAUAGCUUUAGGGCUAGCCUCAAGGUGAGAGAUACGGAGGUAGAGCACUGAAUGUCCUAGGGGGUAUUGCACCUACCGAAGACUAUCAAACUCCGAAUGCCGUCAUCUUAUACUUGGGAGUCAGACUGUGGGUGAUAAGAUUCAUAGUCGAAAGGGCAACAGCCCAGAUCGUCAGCUAAGGUCCCUAAAUGUAAGUUAAGUGGUAAAGGAUGUGGGAUUGCACAGACAACCAGGAUGUUGGCUUAGAAGCAGCCACUCAUUCAAAGAGUGCGUAAUAGCUCACUGGUCGAGUGAUCCUGCGCCGAAGAUUUCCGGGGCUAAAACUUACUACCGAAGCUACGGCAUCAGUAAUGAUGGGUAGGGGAGCUUCCCAUACGGGUUGAAGCAUGACCGUAAGGACAUGUGGACAGUAUGGGAGUGAGAAUGUUGGCAUGAGUAGCGAGAUGUGGGUGAGAAUCCCACAGGCCGUAAACCCAAGGUUUCCAGGGGAAGGUUCGUCCGCCCUGGGUUAGUCGGGACCUAAGCUGAGGCCGAAAGGCGUAGGUGAUGGACAACAGGUUGAUAUUCCUGUACUACCGAUAACCGUUUGAGAGAAGGGAUGACACAGUAGGAUAAGCUAAGCACACUGUUGGUUAUGUGUGCCCAAGCAUUGAGGCAGUCAAAGUAGGCAAAUCCGCUUUGAUAAUGCUGGGAUGUGAUGGGGAGCGAAAUUUAGUAGCGAAGUAGCUGAUUUCACACUGUCAAGAAAAGUCUCUAUCGAGGUUAAAGGUACCCGUACCGCAAACCGACACAGGUGGGUGAGGAGAGUAUCCUAAGGCCAGCGAGAGAACUGUUGUUAAGGAACUCGGCAAAAUGACCCCGUAACUUAGGGAUAAGGGGUGCCACCAUCAGGUGGCCGCAGAGAAUAGGCCCAAGCGACUGUUUACCAAAAACAUAGGUUUCUGCUAAGUCGCAAGACGAUGUAUAGGAGCUGACGCCUGCCCGGUGCUGGAAGGUUAAGGGGAUCUGUUAGAGCAAUCGAAGCAGUGAACUUAAGCCCCAGUAAACGGCGGCCGUAACUAUAACGGUCCUAAGGUAGCGAAAUUCCUUGUCGGGUAAGUUCCGACCCGCACGAAAGGCGUAACGAUUUGGGCACUGUCUCAACAACAGACUCGGUGAAAUUGUAAUUCCGGUGAAGAUGCCGGAUACCUGCGACAGGACGGAAAGACCCCAUGGAGCUUUACUGUAGCUUGACAUUGGGUUUUGGUACUACAUGUACAGGAUAGGUGGGAGGCUUUGAAACCAGGACGCCAGUUUUGGCGGAGCCAUCCUUGGGAUACCACCCUUGUAGUACUGGGACUCUAACCAUAGGCCAUGAAUCUGGUCUUGGGACACUGUCAGGUGGGCAGUUUGACUGGGGCGGUCGCCUCCCAAAAGGUAACGGAGGCGCUCAAAGGUUCUCUCAGUACGGUCGGAAAUCGUACGUAGAGUGUAAAGGCAAAAGAGAGCUUGAUUGCAAGACAUACAGGUCGAGCAAGGAUGAAAAUCGGACUUAGUGAUCCGGUGGUUCUGCGUGGAAGGGCCAUCGCUCAACGGAUAAAAGCUACCCUGGGGAUAACAGGCUUAUCUCCCCCAAGAGUCCACAUCGACGGGGAGGUUUGGCACCUCGAUGUCGGCUCAUCACAUCCUGGGGCUGUAGUAGGUCCCAAGGGUUGGGCUGUUCGCCCAUUAAAGUGGUACGCGAGCUGGG